CCAAGCUCUUACAUUUGCUUUAAGUUGUGUAAACCAUUUCAUUUUGUUUUGUGUGUUUUACAAUGGCUCAUUUGAGAAAAGUCUGUUUAACUCCAUUUAUAAGGAGAGGCGGACCUUUUUGAGAAGCUAAUGGGGCAUCAUGGUGAGCUUCGUUUGGACUGAAAAUUUGGAGGUGGUUAUUCAAUGCUUUUGCACUGUUCCAAGCAAGGCACUUUAGUUUUGGGCCUUGGGAUCUAUAAAAUGAGAAGAUGACAUUCUCUCUCAUGGUGUUAGAGUGUUAAACAGUGUUAGAGUUUGGAGGAAAAUUUGAGUGUGUACCACUCUUUGAGUCGUCCCAAUUCUUGUGUCGUUUGAACCCAGACUUAGGUGUGACUCUUGUGCCCUCUACUUAGAUGUGUCAGUUUAUCUCACUUGUCUGAACAUAUCUUAUUAUUUUGUAAGACGGCACUCUAGUUCUCUUCUGCUCAGUAAUGUAAUAACGUUGUCAGGUAAUAAUAUACCUAGCUCUCAAUCUCCAGUAUGUCAGUGGGAUUCUUAUUAGUUGGUAUAAAAUCAGGGGUCACAUAGGAAGCUGGGUCUGGACUGUUACUCCAGCCUUUUGACUCCCCUGGGUCUCGUUCUCUCCUGCAUACAUGCCAUGUUGCUGGGGGUGAGGAAAAUAUUAUCAUACUGAGAUGUGCCCUAACUUAAUAGAAACUACAGUCUUGGUUCUUUCUUGAGACUCAUCAGGUUGUCAUCUUUGAGGAAUGUCGUGACUCCAGUAAGGAAUUUCUUGUUUUCAUGACCUCUGGCCAUGGAUAGCAGACUGAGCAACACGAGGGCAGGGGGCCUGCUGUCUGAAGUUUAUGUUGGGCAGGGGGCUAGGAUACCUGGCACACAGGCCAGGGUCCAGCACCAUUUUUUAUAUGGAGGAAGGAAGGAAAUGAACAGUCUCAUUGAUCUGUAGAAAAUAGGAAUGAGAAGGGGACCAGGAUUUAAAAAUUUUACUUCUGUAGGAAAGAGGAAAUUGAGGCACCUGAUUGCUCGGGCAGGUUAAGCCUAGUCUCCUAAUCACCCAGUGAACAAUAAUAAGUCAUACCCUUGAAGGUGUUGCAUGGCAGUGCCCUUCUGUUGAAAGCUAUUUUAAUUGUGGAAAAAAAAAAAUUACCCAGGUCAAGAAGUUCUUCUAAACUAAAGCAUAUCCAUUCCUAUUUUGCGGUUUUUCUGUGGCAUCAAAACUUGUCGGGAAGGUUUAGCAAAGCUGUGCUUCUAAUGAUGUGGAGAUCUCACCGGCAGCUGUGCUAAACCUCUUGAUGUAAACUAGCCACGAGUAAACGUCUGGUUGUGAAUCAUAGCAUGACCUUUCAGGGAAAACAAAACAAACAAACCACCAAACACACUAAUCAGAUUUUUUUUUUAGUAUCAGGAUGGUAAACUCUGACACUCAGCGGUUGGCCAGGCCCACUUGGAGCAGUUGAGACAACUUCCUUUCUCUGUUUCUGUUUGUGCAACACAUGGUUGUAUAUUACCUUCGAAUGCAUAUUAGGUUAAAAAAAAUUAAAGCUUUCUUCCACUGAGUUAAGGCAUAUCCUUGAUUUCCUAAUCACCAUGGAACUUUAUAUAAAUACAGAUUACUAAGUGUCACUCAAGACCUGCUGAAUCUGCAUCUCUCAGAGGGUGGGCCCCAGGAGGCUCUUCUGAAGAAUACCCAGUGAUUGUAUGAUAACCAGACUUGGAAACCACUAAAAAAACUCUGAUAUUGUAUUUUUCAUCCAUCCACCUAUUCUUAGCUAUUUAUCCAUGUCUUGAGUAGAUGAGAAUUAGUUACUCAUGGGGCAAUGGUUAUCUUAAGAAUUGAGCGUAAAAACCAGAAAGAGAACAUAAUCCGUGCCCCAUGGGGUUCACAGUCUGGCUUACAAGUUUUUCACUUUCUGCUGAGCUUUUAAAGGGUUCAAAAAUGUCCCAGAAGUCUUGGGCAGAAGAUUUUGUGUACACACGUUUUUCUUGCUUUCAUCAGAUUCUCUAAGGGGUCAGUGACCCAUAAAAGGUUAAGAACCAAGGUCUAGCACUUGUACAGCUGUUCUGAAAACAGUGGCAGAGGGCAGCAUUUCUGUUGCCACCUACAAUGUUUUUGACCUUUUGAGAGGCAAUAGCAGUUUGAGAAUUGCACCUGUUUUCUGCCCCAUUUAAAAUAUUUAAAAAGAAGAGAAAAUAGUGUAACACUUAGGUCAUGGUCAGAACAAGAUGAAGGGAUAUAGAAAGGGGCUAUUUGGUGAACUGCCUCACGUUUAAUGCCAAGGAGCCACUGACUGUAAAACAGCCAGUGAUCAGUCUGAUGGGAGAACCUUUUUAACCAGGAUAGCAGAGCCAAGUUUCACUCCAAUGUUCUUACAGUAUGUAAUUAGCUGAAUUAUAUAUAGCAGUUUUCACCCCAUGGAUGUACAUAAAGACUAACUGUCUUAUUUUUGUGGCUUUCAAUCCCCAGCAUGUCCAUUGAAUUCCUUAAUUCCAAAAUAGCUUGACCAGCUGUACUGCUGGCUCAUCCUUCCUUAGCUCCUAAAAUCCCCAAGUAACACCGUUCAUUACAGAACAGAAUUAGAUAUUAGGUCCUUCUUGAACUGCUGUAUAAGUUUUACUUAGCAUAACACUAAAACCCCUUAUGGUGGAAUAUUCUUAUCCCUAAGGAUGACUUUGUAAUUCACUUUUAAUUAAGGUUCUUCUCUUCUUUUUUUUGUGACUUCAUAUGUUUCGUUGGGGAACAAAAGUUCUUCAAAUAGUGUAGCGCUGGUGAUGCUACGUUUUAGGGUUGGAUAGAUUUGGAAGAAGAGGACAGUCAGUGGAAUUAAAUGUUAUUAAUGGGUAAAAUUCCUUGUCCAUUUAUUUGGGUGUUAUUCUUUUGGGGCUCGGAGGGAGCUAGAGCCUGCUUCACUGUCAUGGACAUCUUAAGUCUUUUGUGGCUGUUUACAUGUCGAUGUCAGAUGUGUCACUUAUUUUGAGCUUGUGUAUGUGCUGUUUUGCAUUAUUCAUUAUUCUUUUAAAAAUGGUGACUAUUUUAUCUGAGUAGAUUUUAACUUACUGGGUGGUGAUUUGGUGCUCUGAGUCUUUAUAGUCUUGCCAUGAUUUAGCAUCCUGGGUACAUAAUAGACCCUCAGUAAAUAUUUGAUAAUUGGGUGUGUUGAUUACCUUUGGGUCUUGGAUCCCCAAGAGACCAAAAGAUGGGCUAAAUCUGAAAUUCGAACUUGACGUAUGCUUUGAAAGGUGGGAAUGUAAAAAUGGAUUGUCAGGUCUGUCCCCGUAAGCUUAGGGCUUAUGUCAUAUUCUUUUAUUAUUAUUUUUUAUGUUCCUCUGAUUCAGCCCCUAGCCUGGGAACCUGGGAACCUCCAUAUGCCCAGGCAUGGCCCUAAAAAGACAAAAAGACCAAAAAAAAAAAAAAAAAGAGUGACCCUACAGAGUUUCCUGAUAGCUCAGUGGGUUAAGGAUCUAGCAUUGUCACUGCUGUGGCACAGAUUUGAUCUCUGGCCCAGAAACUUCCACGUGCCAUGGCCAUGGCCAAAAAAAAAAAAAAAAAGUGACACCAGCAAAAUCUGGAAGGAUCAUUGGAAAUUAGCAAGAAAGGUGGAAGAAUGGGGACUACUAUCUUCUAAGAAGUAUACCUUGAAAUUAUUUUUUUCUCUUCUUUCUCUCUGUCCUUUUCCUUCCCUGCCAUAGUCUUUUGUCCUCGCGUGAUUUCACUCAUCCAAAGUGGGCCAGUUGCCUUGCUACCCUGGGAUGGUUGGCGGUUGGGGGCUAUGGUAAGGGGGUUAUAGUUAAAGCUGAAUAUAAAUUGGAGAGCAAGAGAUGGUAAAGUAGUUUUGAUUUAUUGGGCUCAUUGAAUUGGGCUCUUGGCCAACUGUUUAUCUAAAUUGUGCUCUGGUGACUUUUUUGGGAAGCCUUUUGUUGUUCCGCAAACCCUUUUUUUAAUGUCCGGGGUGGGUUAAGGGCUUGGGAAACAUACACUUCCCGAAGGAGGUCCUUUUCUGUACUCUAUCUUUAAGAGGUAACAAAGCUUUACUAUAUUUUACUUCCUAUAUGUAAUUUCUCAAACCUCUGACAUCAAAAUCACCGGGAGGCUGUUACAAUAUGUAAUUUUCAUAGCCUUUUUCUCCCAGACCUGCUGACUUGGAAACUUAGCAGUAGGAUUCCUGGCUCUUGUCAAGCACUCUGUGAGAGCCACAGCCAUGACGGCAUGAAUCGCCAGUGGGUCAUUCAGAGCUUAAAGAUGAGGACUUUUAUCACGUUAGCCCCAGUAGGAUCCUGCUUGAUGACUCACCAUUUCUCACCAGUAUUACCAGCUACAUAAUUUGCAAGACCCCGCACAAAGGAAAUAUGCAGAAUUCACUAUUAAAAAAUUAUUAACAACUUAAAAGAGGGUAACGGCAGAGCGUUAAACCAAGUGCGGGGCCCUUUUUGAGCACAGGGCCUUGGAAGACUGCACAGGCUGCAAGCCUGUGAGGCUGGCCCUUCGCACUGCUUCUGUUUGCCUUCUUAAAGCGAACUGCUUAUUGCUCCUUGUGUACCACACUGUUCUUUGUCUUUGUCUCUUGGGUCUCCCUGUAUGAAAUACUGUUUUUCAUCUCUUCCCUCUUACCCCGGCUCAUCCCAGUUUUUGCAUGUAACGUAUUAGAAUCCCACACAAGUCACCACUGCAAGAUCAUGUCCUUUGAGGGUACGCUAUUCCCGAUUCUUGAAUCUCCUGCCAUUAGCUGAGGCUCUGCCACUGCUUCCUCAUAAGUUUGCUGAAUAAAAUGAUUUAACCUGAAUACUUUUAUUAAAACUUAAUUUGGUUAGGGGCCACUGGGACUACAGAUCUGGUUCAGAGUGGGGUGCUGGAGGCAGUGUUCACGAGGGACUGGGGCUGCCUGAGCCUGACUCGUGUGAGACAUUGUGGGGAACAGGGCAGAAAACAAAGUUACAACAUCUCGGGCAAGUUGUGCAUCCUCUGUGGUCUACACCUUUGGGAGCUGCAACCCUCCCUCUGACAAUCAGGGCUUCCUGUCUGGAUCUGUCGUUGACCUCUGUGUUCCUGGACACCACAGCUUUUCCUAAGCUACUUUAGAAGUUAACACUUCUUCUGUUAUCAGAACCUAUGGAAAUGUGUCUUGUGAUAGGAAGGUGACCAUUUUGGUCAGUGGUUACUAUUUGAAACCAGACAUGCCAGGAUUUUUUGAGGUAGUAUGUCCUGGAGAAUUCCCUAAAGCUGGAUGCACUUGGUAAGUGAAGCUGUGGCUCUGUCAAGGCUGAGCAUUAGGCUCUGCCUAUUACACUUAAGAGGACUGACUGUUCCUGCCUUGAGGUAACCAGAGGUCGCUAUGAAUUUGGGCCGAAGGUCUGUGAAACCUCUUCAGCUCACAGGUAGAUGAGCAGCUGGAUGUUUGGAGAAGUUAAGCAUGUUCAAGAUUGCUUCAGAUAUUUGAUGCCUGAGUUGGCACUGAAAUCCGUGAUUUUUUCUCCUCCUGAGGCCUCAAUAAAUAUUUGUUCAAAGAUUAUUCUAGUCUUUUCUUUGAAGAUUAUCUUCAGGCUUUGACCGAUGGAGUUAAUGGAAUGAAAUAUGUAUUUCCCCUUUAAAAUUGUUUUGAGGAGUUAAAGUGAACAGAUUUUCUAAAACAGUGCUGUCCAAUUGCAAUAUGUGAGUCACACAUGCACUUUAAAAGUCUUUAGUGGCCACAUUAAAAAGUAAAAAAAGGGAGUUCCCUGGUGGUGCAGUGGGUUAGGUGCCUGGUGUUGUCAUUACUGUGGCUCUGUUUGCUGCUGUGGCAUGGGUUCAGUCCCUGGCCCUUGAACUUCUGUAUGCUGUGCAUGUGAAACAAGUGAAAUUAAUUGAAAUAACUUAACCCACUCUAUAAAAAAUUUAAUAACUUUAAUACAUAUGCAUUUAUGCAUAUAUUGAUAUAUUCCCAUGUAUUGGUAUAGAAACAUUGAGAUAAUUACUUAAUUUUUUCCCAGUGUAGUUGCUGUAUUGGACAGUGUGGGUCUAAAAUAUAUUAGCUUAUACAUUUAAUUUUAAUUUUCUCUUCUUUUUUAGGCUGCUUCUUAACCUGUACUAGUUAGCAUGUGAGCUUGUUACUGGCUCACAUGCUAACUGAUGAUACAGCUCAGAAGACAAGGAUUCGGGAUGUAACCUGACUUAAUUUUAGAGUGCCAGUUGGAGAGCUCAGGUGAACUCAGAAUGCUCCAACGUGGAUUCGGUGUAGAUCUCUGACUUUGUGCUGGGCAUCUGGAGGGUGCCCUCGCUCUCAGCCUCCUAGGGGGCAGAAACUACCUUGUAUGAAAACGUGCUGCUGUGUAAAUUUAAGCUGUACAGCAUAGUGAUAUGACUUAUAUACAUCAUGAAAUGAUUAACCAUGCUGAGUUUAGUGAGCAUCCAUCAUCUCACACAGAUACAAAAUUAAAGAAAUAGAAAAGAAAAAAAAAAAAAAAAAAAAAAAAAAA
rnacentral:lncRNA from 1 species